ACAACAUAAUAAUUACAACUUUCAACAACGGAUCUCUUGGUUCUGGCAUCGAUGAAGAACGCAGCGAAAUGCGAUACGUAGUGUGAAUUGCAGAAUUCAGUGAAUCAUCGAAUCUUUGAACGCACAUUGCGCCCUUUGGUAUUCCAAAGGGCAUGC
rnacentral:rRNA from 1 species